rnacentral:rRNA from 1 species
UGAGUACGAGAUGCUACGGCAUCGAAGCAGUCUAUGUCAUACUUCCAAGAAAAGCUUGCACUGUCAGAAACAGAUAAUGCCUGUACCAUAACCGACACAGGUGGGUAGGUAGAGUAUACUAAGGGGCGCGAGAUAACUCUCUCUAAGGAACUCGGCAAAAUGACUCCGUAACUUCGGGAGAAGGAGUGCCUUAUUUUUAAGGUUGCAAUAACAAGAUCCAAGCAACUGUUUACCAAAAACACAGGUCUCCGCUAAGUCGUAAGACGAUGUAUGGGGGCUGACGCCUGCCCAGUGCCAGAAGGUUAAAGAAGUCGGUUAGCAUUCGCGAAGCUGGUAACUGAAGCCCUGGUGAACGGCGGCCGUAACGAUAACGGUCCUAAGGUAGCGAAAUUCCUUGUCGGGUAAGUUCCGACCCGCACGAAAGGCGUAAUGAUUUGGAUACUGUCUCGGAGAGGGGCUCGGUGAAAUAGACUUGUCUGUGAAGAUGCGGACUACCUGCACCUGGACAGAAAGACCCUAUGAAGCUUUACUGUAACUUGAAAUUGAAAUUGGACUUUAUUUGCGCAGUAUAGGUGGGAGGCGUUGAAAAUAUUCUUGCGGGAAUAUUGGAGCCAUCAGUGAGAUACCACUCUUGUAAUGUUAGAUUUCUAACUUUAUAUCAUUAUCUGGUUAAAGAACAGUUUCAGGCGGGCAGUUUGACUGGGGCGGUCGCCUCCCAAAUGGUAACGGAGGCGCACAAAGGUUUCCUCUGAACGGGUAGAAAUCGUAUCUAGAGUGUAAAGGCAUAAGGAAGCUUGACUGUGAGACCUACAAGUCGAGCAGGGACGAAAGUCGGUCUUAGUGAUCUGACGGUGCUGAGUGGAAAGGCCGUCACUCAACGGAUAAAAGUUACUCUAGGAUAACAGGCUGAUCUCCCCCAAGAGUUCACAUCGACGGGGAGGUUUGGCACCUCGAUGUCGGCUCAUCGCAUCCUGGGGCGGUAGUACGUCCCAAGGGUUGGGCUGUUCGCCCAUGAAAGCGGUACGCGAGCUGGGUUCAGAACGUCGUGAGACAGUUCGGUCCAUAUCCGGUGUAGGCGUUAGAAUAUUGAGAGGAGCCUUCUUUAGUACGAGAGGACCGAGAAGGACAUACCUCUGGUGUACCAGUUAUCGUGCCAACGGUAAACGCUGGGUAGCUAUGUAUGGAGUGGAUAACCGCUGAAAGCAUCUAAGUGGGAAGCCCACCUCAAGAUAAGUAUUCUC